AUGACGUGGGAAAGGGCAUGGAGCUUCCUGAUGGACAGGGGAAGGAAUUCACCACUGGGAAUGAAUGGUGCUGAUGCCCAGGAGUAUUUUGCUUGUAUAAUUACCAUGCUGAGGUUACAAAGGAGGGAUAGAAGAGGCCCCUGUGGUCAUCCAGGCUGUCUUCCCUCACACUGCUGGCUGGGACAUGUGGCUGACUGCAGUGAAUGGCAAGGACAUUCCAGAAAACAACAGUCCUGACACAAACAAAACCAGAAUUGUAACACGGUGACAACAAGCAAUGAAAGGCGCAAGCUUUGAGGUGAAUUAAGUUCGUGAAGGUGGAAGCCAAGCCCAGCGACAUCAGAGGCUGCUGUGGAGGAGAAUUAAAUUAACAGGGUAAAAUAUCUCCUGUUUAAGGUUGGCCUCAGGCAAGAAUGAGUUUGUCAGUGUAAUAUGUUGUUGAAUUUUAAUAUGGAAAUGUCUCCUGGCAUGUAUUUCGAACACACUACAAACAGUGAUAUUGAUCUAACCUUCAAUUAAUGGGAGAGGUCCUCUGUGAAAAUUGGAUCUGGGUUUGAAUGGCAAAUAGGUUUAAUAUUCUGAUGACAGUGGAUCAUUUGCACAGCUCAGUAAGGACUAUAAAUCACCAGGAUUAGGGCUUUUUUUUUUUAUUAUCAUUUUAAUGCAGGCUUGUUUUCCCUGGAGCAAGGGGCCAGGAGUGUGGUAAAUCAUUAAAAAAUCAUGGAGCUGGUGUCAGUAGGUAUGGACAACAAAUAAUCUACUUGUGCUAAAUGAAUUAUUUGAAAUCCAUUCACUCCUGCUCUCUGUUGCUGUGUUUUUUAGAUGUGUGCUCUCUUUUGGGAUAGAAUGAUUGCUCUCCCUUUAG
rnacentral:lncRNA from 1 species